rnacentral:misc_RNA from 1 species
GAAAUGUGAUAAGUAAUGUGAAUUGCAGAAUUCAGUGAAUCAUCGAAUCUUUGAACGCACCUUGCGCUCCUUGGUAUUCCUUGGAGCAUGCCUGUUUGAGUAUCAUGAAAUCUUCAAAGUAAAUCUUUUGUUAACUCAAUUGGUUUCUACUUUGGUAUUGGAGGUCUUUGCAGCUUCACACCUGCUCCUCUUUGUUCAUUAGCUGGAUCUCAGUGUUAUGCUUGGUUCCACUCGGCGUGAUAAGUUAUCUAUCGCUGAGGACACUGUAAAAGGUGGCCAAGGUAAAUGCAGAUGAACCGCUUCUAAUAGUCCAUUGACUUGGACAAUACUUUUAUGAUCUGAUCUCAAAUCAGGUAGGACUACUCGCUGAACUUAAGC